UGCGUAGGUGGGCAGGUAAGUCAGUGGUGAAAUCUCUAAGCUUAACUUAGAAACUGCCGUUGAUACUAUCUGUCUUGAAUGUAGUGGAGGUGAGCGGAAUAUGUCAUGUAGCGGUGAAAUGCUUAGAUAUGACAUAGAACACCCACUUGCGAAGGCAGCUCGCUACACUAUUAUUGACACUGAGGCACGAAAGCGUGGGGAUCAAACAGGAUUAGAUACCCUGGUAGUCCACGCCCUAAACGAUGGAUACUCGACAUCAGCGAUACACUGUUGGUGUCUGAGCGAAAGCAUUAAGUAUCCCACCUGGGAAGUACGACCGCAAGGUUGAA
rnacentral:rRNA from 1 species